GCUGUUCUGUCUCUUAAAUAAAUG
rnacentral:piRNA from 1 species